rnacentral:rRNA from 1 species
AUUGAACGCUGGCGGCAUGCUUUACACAUGCAAGUCGAACGGUAACAGGGUGCUUGCACCGCUUACGAGUGGCGAACGGGUGAGUAAUGCAUCGGAACGUCCCGUGUAAUGGGGGAUAGCUCGGCGACAGCCGGAUUAAUACCGCAUACGCCCUGAGGGGGAAAGUGGGGGACCGAAAGGCCUCACGUUAUUCGAGCAGCCGAUGUCGGAUUAGCUAGUUGGCGAGGUAAAGGCUCACCAAGGCGUCGAUCAGUAGCGGGUCUGAGAGGAUGAUCCGCCACACUGGGACUGAGACACGGCCCAGACUCCUACGGGAGGCAGCAGUGGGGAAUUUUGGACAAUGGGCGCAAGCCUGAUCCAGCCAUGCCGCGUGUCUGAAGAAGGCCUUCGGGUUGUAAAGGACUUUUGUCCGGGAGCAAAUCCUAGUGGUUAAUAACCGCUGGGUCUGAGAGUACCGGAAGAAUAAGCACCGGCUAACUACGUG